CUUUACAGUCGUGAGGAAGGGUAGUAGGUAGUUAAUAGACUGCAUUAUUUGACGUUAGCGACAGAAGAAGCACCGGCUAACUCCGUGCCAGCAGCCGCGGUAAUACGGAGGGUGCGAGCGUUAAUCGGAAUUACUGGGCGUAAAGCGCAUGCAGGUGGUUGUUAAGUACAGAUGUGAAAGACCCGGGGCGUCAACCUCGGAAUUGCAUUUGAAACUGGCAGACUAGAGUACUGUAGAGGGGGUAGAAUUUCAGGUGUAGCGGUGAAAAUGCGUAGAGAUCUGAAGGAAUACCGGUGGCGAAGGCGGCCCCCUCGGACAGAUACUGACACUCAGAUGCGAAAGCGUGGGGAGCAAACAGGAUUAGAUACCCUGGUAG
rnacentral:rRNA from 1 species